GCAUUUGGAAGCAGGGAUAUUUGGAGGCGGUGAUAUUGGGAGCGGGGAUAUUUGGAAGCAGGGGAUGUUUGGAAGAGGGGAUGUUCGGAAGCGGGGAUAUUUCCGUGCCUGCCGGCACUGCCCCUGUCCCGGCCCGUUGUUAAGGGGCAGUGAAUGGAUGAGGAUGCUCUUGGACACCACCCUUGUGCCACCUUAUCCUUACAAAAUCCUGCUGAGGGAAUCAAACUGGGAAGCCAUACUGGGGUGCCCAGCAGCUGUAACCUUUGGAUUUCCAGACACCAUGAAGUUCAAUAGCAGUUUCAGCAAACGAGAUUAUCGGUGAAAGGAGAAGGAAGCAGAAGUGAAUUGCAGCCUUGCUUAGGAAAAGGGAGAGAGACUAAUUUAAGCCAAUUUCUCCAAUCAAGAAGAAAGGCUGUUUGAAAAACAGAUCAAAACGAGAGUGGUUUCCUUGCAGAAGGAGUUUAUCAGAAUGGCAUUUUCCACAAAAAGGGCUUGAGAUGAACCUUGAGAAGGCUGGGCCUGAUCCUCAGAGCAGUUUGCACCUUUGCAGCACACUCUGCAGCGUUCCCAUUCCCUGGUGUGGCUGUUUCUCCACGUUCCUCUGGCUCCCAGGGGGUUAUUUUGGCACAGAGACAGAUAAAAAGCCCCAGAAAGUCUUCCCUUUUCCUGCUCCAAAGCUUCCCUGACCAAGAUGAAUAUGUACCCUGGCCUCUGGGAGCACCCCAGGUUUCAAGCAGAGACAGGGCUCAUGCCUGUCCUCUGCUGUGGGUCCUGCCCUUUUAAUUCUUGUGAGCAGCUUAUCUGCCUUUCCUUUAUGUCAAUUCUCUCCUUCCUUCCUCAGGAUUUUCUCCUUACCCUCAUCUUCCUGCCAUCCUUUUCCCCAGCCCAGCUAAGCCUCCCUUGGGAGGGGCUGCCCCUUUUACAGCUUUUUGCCUGAAGCCACGUAUCUCCUAAGCAAGUGCUUUUUUGAGGGCUCUUGACAUUAAAAACUCCAGUUUUGAAGCUUAAUGGGGAAGUAUAACUGUGACAUCAGCAUUGUGGCACCAGGAAAAACCCACUGCAAAUGUGAGCAGAGCUGGACCCCGCGCAUCUUGAGUGGCUUCCUGUUCCUUAGGAAAGCUUGGCACAAAAAUGCACUGCCUUUUGUGUGCAAAGCCGUGCACUCAGCCCUGCAAACUGGUGAGAUCGGCUUAAAAAUAACGAUGUUUUAAAAUAGAGUAAAAUGCAUUUUGGGCAACUUUCAUAUGCUCCUUGGCUUUGGAGUCGUUUUUGGUUUGGCCCUGGGGACCACUUCAAUCCCAUUUCCAAGUUCUUCUCUGUACCCUGAAGGGCCAGACAUCUACUUGAAGAAAUCAAAUCAAAUCUGAGAUUGCCUGAAACCCCACAAAAAUACUGAUGCUUUUAAAACCAAACAAAAUCUUCACUCCAAAUGGAAGCUGGGUCCAGCCUGACAACAGAAAUCACAAGUUGGCACUGCAGCCCUCCCAGCGAGGCAUCCUGGCUGAUUAGUGCUGCUGCCUCAUUAACAUGCAUACCGUAAUCUCAUUUGCUCCAGGACUGCUUUGAUGUUAAUUCCAGCGUUUUGGUGCAGUGUGGUGCUGCACUCUGUGUUUCCAGGCUAGCAUUCCUCUCUUCUGCAGCCCAAGCCUUUUCUUUUUGUGAGUCUGUCCUUGCUGUGGCCACUAAAGCACUGGCCACCUUCAUCCUCCCAGCCCUAUGGCUCUGCCCCGCACUUUCCAGCCUGGCCCCAUACGGGUUGUGCUCUGCUUUCCAUAUCAUUUUCUCUCCCUGUAAUUUUCCAGCCAUUUUUUCAUGUAUUUUUUCAAACUAAGAGCACCUUUUCCCCAACCCCUGUAACUCCUAGAUAGGAUAUUCAACCAUGACAGUUGUCCAGUUCGGGAACAAGAAGCCACUAAAUGCUCUGAGGUAAAUCCCACUGACCCCAAAGAGAAAAUAAAUGCACUGGUGCAGGAUGGACAAGGCAUAAGCAGAUGUCCAGUGAGGUGGGGGACCAAAGUUUAAUGGUCACUACAGGGAGCUGAGCUAUCAAGAGAGCCAGACACGCUGCCAGGGUUGUCUGGGGCUGGGCUAGAGGUUUUGUUCAGAGCAAGAUGGAGACUUCACCUCUCCACAAAAUCAAUCACUUUCACACUUCUCCAAUGUGGAUUCCAGAUAUCCCGGGUAUUUUUGAUGGUGAGGGCUCAGAGCUGCCUCAAAACAUGGGCAGGGCCAGAAAAAUGAGGCUGCUUUAUUGUCUGGGAGAUCAAUGGCUUUAAUAAUUAGCAUCUUACUUACACAUGAUUUCUAUACUCAAUUUGAAUCUUAAUUAGAGAUGGAGAGGGGGAUUUAGAAAUCCUGGUGUAGCUCACGAGUGUCUCCCGCCUCCUUGGAGGAGGAGACCCUGUGGUGAGACCUGUGACAAACCUGCUGCAGCGUCAGGGACCUCAUCCUGCUGCUUCCUGGGGAGCACCCAGUCCCUCUGGAGAGGACAUUGGAGCCAAGUCCCACAGCCAAGUCCUGUACACCCACAGAGCCCCAAAGCAUAGCUCCAGCCUGCAAAGGGGAACACACCAGAGCUUGAGGCUGAGGCUAAGGGUGCUGCUCAGUCCUGGAGCUGCUCUGGAUGGGGCUGAGGCUGAGGCUGAGGAUGCUGCUCAAACCCCGAACUGUUCCAGAUGGGGCUGGUGAUGCUACUCAGCCCCAGCAUCUGCCCAAAGUGCUCUGCAGCUGUAAAAAUCCGCUGCAGUUUAGGACCAAGAAAGGGAUGGAGGGGCCGUCAGUGCAGGCAGGCGGCUUUAAAGCUCAGCCUACAUAUCUUUACACAAGGACAUGCAUUAAAAAAAUGCGAGGCAUUUGAAGCCCACCAUUUUAAUUAAACUGAUUUAACAUCCGAGCUUGUGAGGGGCGCAGGGCUGGCAAGCACAAAGAAGCUGCACAAUCACUUUGGCUCCAUUGUUGACAGGCUUUUGCUCUCUGUUUGUACAAUAACCUAUUGAACUUUUCCAGACUGUAAUUCAAUACAGAAUAGAUCCUUGCAGGAGGCUUUUUUGGCAGGGAGCACUGAAGGCCUUGAAUCAAUUUCACUUUUCCAGCGUGGUUGUUUAAUGUAUUGAUACCAGCUGGAAAAAAAAAAAAAAAAAGGAAAAAUAAAAAGGAAUCAAUGUUACUUUUAUUUGUCCUGAGCUGAAGCCUUUUGGUUCUGUUCUUUGUGACACUGAUACCAUGCAGCGUGUGGCUAUUGUCCCACCUUCGCCAGGAAAAGCAAAGGCUGUUAACGUGAAACAAGGCGGGUUUUUUGUCCGUAAUACUUCCCGCUUUUGCAAAGGCUUAAAAGGUUUCGUAGGAAGAGAAAAGUCCAGCAAUCCACCACUGCAUGGCUUAGCUGGUUGUUCUGGUGAUGCUGAGACAAUGCUGCAGAACUGCUGGGACUCUGGGUGCGUGGCCAAGGCAGCGCUCCAGGUCAGGCGUCCCCCAUCACUCGGGCUGAGUGAUCACUCUGAGCACGGAGCCAGGGUUCCGCCAGCUCCUCUUUGGGGACCUGUUUUAAAAACAGCCCAGGGACCUCCUGCCAUGCUCUGGCAGCACAGCUGGAUCAGCCCUGUGAGGGACCUGUGCUGCAUUGCCAGUGGGACACCUUCACCCUGGGCAGCAUCACAGGAGUGUCUGCGCAGCCUUGGAGCGAGUGCCAGGGGAGAGGGAACAUCAGCACGGCUCUGGCUGAGCUGGGGGUGGGCUGGCAGCACAGUGCAGCCCAUCAUCACCCUUCCAUGCAUCAGGAUGAGGGGCGGGCAGGAGCUGGCCGAUGCCCACAGUUCGGGUUGCACGGCAGGAGCACGCCGGCUCCGGAGCAGGGGACGCGCAGCGCUCCAGAAGCACUCCCAAAAGACAGGGCUGUUAAUUGUUACUUAAGCAAUGAAGCUGUUUCAGAUUGCCUGGGGUGAAGCAGCGGCGGUGGAAGGUGUCUCACUGCCAGAGUGAGAAGUGGCGUCGUUGGGGCCCCUUUUUACUGGGAAACUUUUACUGGGAGUGUGAAAGCAAGCUGGGGCCACUGGUGUGACCUGCGAGCACCUGGGAGAAAAACCAGAGAAUCCAGCCCGAAGUGAACAUGCAGAGGGAAAACAAAUCCCUCUGGGCUUGAGCCAAGCUUCCAGGCAAAACCAGGGAGCAGGACUGGGAUGACUUAGAUCUCCCUGGAUUCCCAGGCAUCCCUGCUGAGCCACUGUGCCUUUUCCAGCCCCAGAAGAGGAACCUUUCCCUACCUUCCUCCCAUCUCAGCCCUCCCCAGUCCAUGCUUCCUGCGAGGCUCUGGCCUCCACCCCGUGUGACACAGAUGUCUGUUCACCAGCAGAAGAUUACACGUAUGAACACACAUGUAGAGGGAGGGGAUCUGCUUGCUGACCAUUACCAGUUUUCCUCGGAAAAGGAAAGGCUGGAUUUCGCAAACCCUGAGUGAUGUUAGAGCACACUGAUUUACACUCUCAGGGGUUUUUUUCUGUUAGGAUUUACCCCAAAUGAAGAGGAGACUGAUACUGCAGCAGUUAACUGCAGGAAACAGGAGGAGUGUUUUGAGUGGAGUUUCACUUGCUGAAGAUCUGCCCUGAAGAGUUAGUCUUGGGUUUAGAAGGCAGAUGCUGGAGGGCCAGACAGAGCUUUCUGCCCUGCAAGUUACCAGGGGUAGAGAGGGUAAAACACAUUCCUAAAAUAAAUUUGUGUGCAUGGCAAGGUGUCUGUUCCUCCCCCUGCUUAGAAAUUCAAGCUGUCUGAUAUUACUGUAGCGAGUCCUGACGAACAGAACUGGGAAACACAGUCACUGCUUAUAAUGAGGUGCUGCAGUGUAAACCUAAUCUUCAUUUAGAGCAAUUUCUGAAAGACAAAGAGAAAUCCACCUGACGAGAUGCCGCUGAACCGCGCGAUGCACCUACAAAUCAAAGCCCCACGUCCCAAAACUUAGCUGGGAAGGGGAAAUAAAUGGCAGGGGAGCGGCUGAGCAGGUGGAGGCCGCCUUGCAGGAGCAUCCCUGGGCAGGAUGGGGCCGGGAGGAUGAAAUGUGAGGAGCAUCACAGCCCCCCCGGCUCACUCUGCCAUGCACACGCGAUGCACGCCUGACCCUCAGCAUCCUCUCACUCCCCUUCCUCCCCCCUCCACUUAUAAAUCAGAGCAGAAUUAAUUCAGGCGCCGCGUUUUAUUUGAUAAACGUCAAAAUAUGUAAAUACCGGGCUCUCUUCCUACAGUCGCUAAAACAAAUGGAAAACACAUUUAUUAGCAUAGAGAUGAGUUUAAUCAAAUCAGCGGCGAGUACAAAUUAGCCACAGGAAACGUAAUGAGCUGGGAAUUAAUUAGCAGCAUAAUGGUAAUAACUUUGCCUGCUGAUUACCUUGCGGCCAUGGCUCUCCCCCAGGGCUUUCCAUGGGUUCUCCAACAGCUGAUCUUUUCUGUUGCAGGAGCCCCUGAACUGGAACAGCAUGGCCGACAGCUCCCGUGCAACAGACUGGAAGAGGGGAGGGAGACCGAGGGAGGGAGGGGGAAAAAAGCCAAGUGAAAGAUCCACCGCCUUCACCUUCCUUCCUUUGCCCAUCGCUCUCCCGGUUUGUUCUGCCAGGCUGAGCGCUCCCUGCGCUGUGUGGGGAUGCCCUCAUGGGUGGUGGGCUGGGUGAGAUAUCUGGGUCACCUUCCCCACGUGAAUGUUCCCUCCUGGGCCAAGCACAUGGCACACUUCAGAGCAGCCACCUGCACCCCGGGCUUAUUCCGGUUCACCCUGCUGCAGGGUGGGUAAUGCUGGAUCUGACUUGUCCAAAAAUAAAUACCCAGGCGGUUCCGGAGAGAGGCUGAAGUUGCCUCGGGAAGGGCAGGAGCAGGCUGACCCCGGAGACUCAGCUGGCUGUUUUGAGGAGCUGAUGUUGCAUGAGAAAGGGACAAUUGGUGCUCCAGGGGCUUUGUAAAGUGCUGGGCUUGUAAAUUAACUGUUUGACACCAACAGUGAUGGAGAACAGUGGGGGGCAGGGGACGCAUGGAAGGAAGGGGCAGUUUCUCUUGAUUUAUUUGUAUUCCUCCUGCAAUGCCUCUCCUCCUAACACCUGAGCAGUCCAAAACAACUUGCAUAGAGCGUUCCGGUGCCGGAGCUAAAAGCACUUCAUAAGCCUUAAUGAAUCAAGCUGUGCAACAGCCCUGCGAGGAAUUAUUAUUCCCAAUGGUGCGGGAAGGUAAAGGGAAAAAUGCUCAUGUUUGGGGGCCUCCAUUUGGAUGCUCCAGUCCAUCCUCGUGCACCUCCUCACAGCAGCCUCCCAGGCAAGUGACUGAGGCAAAACCUGAGAAGUUAAAAAAAAAUAAAUCUAAGUUAAAAAAAUAAGCCAGACUGGGAAACACAGUGAUUUCUGGAUGGUGAAAAGUGGGAAUCCUGCUUCCAGGUCUCUGGUACCUGCAGAGCCUCUGUCUUGUCCUUAAGCAUAAAGAAGCUCCACAUUCAGCUCUGCUCUUUGAAGCUGAGACUAAUUUCUCCUGCUUAAGGAUCCAAGUAAAAUCCAGAAUGGACCUCUGGAUGCAAAAAUAAGCAAGUAGGCAUACAAAUUCCAGCUUGGACACCCAAGAUAAAGUUUUCCAAAGCCCUCUGUACUGCUUCCCCCAAACUUUUCUGGUAAUAGGUAUUCACCACUACCUUCAAUUACAAUAUCAGACCAUUGCUUCUACCAACAUCUCCCUGACAACUUUGAUCAAACCUGCAGCACUGCAAACAGUGCUGAUGGCAAUGCCUCACCUCAGCAAGCUGACUGGGAGAAGAGUUUGACAGCUGUCCCUGGAAAAUCUCACAGGUCCCUCCAAAAUGAAGUCAGAGGAGAGCAAAUGAGUCCUGCUGUGCUCUGGAUCAGACCUGCUUUCAUGCAGGGACUGAAAUGGAUAUUUAAAAGUCCCAAGAUAUGGCAAUAAUCUGGAAUUCAGUCUCCAUGGGAUGUUUGGUGAUGUGUGAACUUCUGUGGGAGCAUUUGCUCCUCUGGAGAAGCAGACACAGAAUUUCAACAGAGCAACUCUUUAGAGCCUGAUCUGCAGAGGUGCAUGGGGAAGGGAUGUUUGCAGAGAUCCUUACAGCAUUUUUUCAGGAUUCCUCCUUCUAGGAGGCAGUGCUGCCUGCCCUGUUAGAGGCUGGACUCAGCCUUCCUGCUGCUUGUUGGGUUUGUACCCCGAGCUGAAGGGUCUUCAAGCCUGAUGGGCCCUGUGGGCUGUGCGAGAGCUGCCAUCCACUCUCAAAGGCCAUCUCUGGGAUGUUCCUCUCUGGAGAUCCUACCCUGCAGAGUCAGGGCAACAUGGGCCUGACCUCAGAUGAAAGUUGUAUUGCUUCAGUUAAAGAUGCUUCAUUUUUAACUCCUUUUAUUGCCUCUGAUUUUUUUUUUUUUUUAUCCAAGGGAGCUUGUGCUAGUUGACACAAUAGAUUAAACCACGAGUCGUAGUAGAAGAAUCCUGUGUUUUAUUAUCAGGGAUAAAUAAUAUCUCCCCCAGAGGAAAAUGGGAGAACACAAGGUCACCCAGCAUGCCCAGAGCGGAGCCUGAAUAGAAGCUGUAAGUUGCUCCAGCCUCCUGUGCAGCCUGAGCUUCGUUCUGAAGGCAGAGGGGUUUAUUCUUCAAAGUACCACUUUCCUUUGCUACCUGCAGACAAAUAGGUUGCUCUAAGAUGCGUUCCACGAGCUGAUUUUUGAUUCAUGAAAGCCUGAACCAACACUGAUCAUAAGAGAAUUGACAGUGAUCGUAAAAUAUGAAAGGUUUUUAAGAAGGACUCUACAUCAUACUGAGGUCUGCAGCAGGAUUUCUGCUUCAGAGCCGGAGGGGCCAAAUGCAUCCCUGGUUUAUUGAUGAAAACGUGGAAGUGAAAGCAGCAAAAGCAGAAUUGUGCCCCUGUAUGUUCAAGGCUACCUAAUGCCACAGAAGCUUUUAGGAAAUCUACCACUUUAAGCAUAAACACAAGACAAUUUUGUUCUCAUGCAAUUUUCUUGCCAAUGCUUUUUCUUAAAAAUCUGUACAGCUGUCAUAUAAAAUAUGCCUGGGUUUGUUCUAAUUUAGAUUACGCAUAUUUGUCCUCAGUGAAUGAUUGAUUAAGUGCUCUGAUCUUGACUGCUAUAUUAGCAGCAGGGUAUCUGUGCAAGAGGAUUGGGAAGCUCAUUGGAUAAAUGGUAGAGAUGAAAUCUUAGCUGUUACAGAUCUGGGUUUCUUGUUCACAGCCAAGGCAAAUGCUGUCUUCUGUGCAAUAACAAACAUGCUUUGUAAUGUGUUCCAGGAUAGUGCUGAGCCUGACUUUGUUUCCUCAUGGAGGGGCUUUAAGCUGUCACAAUACCGUGGCACCAAACCCUUCGUGUCACAGAUCUCACUGCAAAGAGGGUAUCUCUGAGUUCACUGGAUCAGUUGUGAUUUACGCUGAUGUAACUCAAAACAAAAUGUGUCUCACUGACAUCUGCGGAGCUGCUCAGAUAAAACCAAUACAUAAGCAAAAUUAGGGGAAAAAUAAGAUCUCUCUGUGAAACCGAGCUCAUUCAAAGCAGCAAGCAUGGCUUAGCAGGACUGACCAAAAUGGAAAACCUCCUUCAGGGGUUAGCUACCCUGUCAAUCUCACUUUACCAUCACUGACCCUGAGCUGGGAGCAAAUACAUUGUUACCUACAGGAGCUGGGAGAUAUUUUCUUGCUUAUUUGUAUAAUCUUAGGUUCUGUACUUCUUACAGGAAAUUAUGUCAAUUUAUGUUUUGUCAUCUUUUCAUUUGUUCGUGUUUAUGAGCUAGAAUGGACACAACUAAAGGUACUUGAAAACACCAACUUAAAAAAAAAAUCCACUUUAUUUUUCUUUAAUGCAUCUUCAUUUCUACACUGGUCUAUUGCAUUGUCUUUGCAACACUGUAGCACUGAGAAGGUGUGGUAACAGAACAGGCAAUUAUGAAAAGAAAGGAGGAUUUUUUUUUUUCUCCUUUUCUCUUUCUGAAUCAUUUCCCUGACCUUCUUGGAGGUGUAGAGAAAGCUCAAAACCAUCAGAAUAAAUAGGUUGUUUACUGUGAUGUUUUCAGCCUCGGGAAAAAAAAAAAAAAAAAAGAAGAUAAAGAAUAAAGAAAAGAAAAUCCCUAUACCCGCUGUCUUCCAAAAGGAGACAGAUCAAGUGUGAACUCUAGAGAAAAUAUUCCAAAAUCUGAGCAUGAUGCUGUCACAGCAAAGCAGAGUAAAACAGAAAAAAGCUAAACAAAAAGUGACCCCAGGGGGACUCAGCACCCUCCUUCUUAUCGUGGACUUGGGGGGGAAAAAAAGGGGCAGGUUGCAGAAAUACCAAAACAAGGGGAUUUAUCUUGGCAAAGACUCUGUCCCAGCCUGAUUUCCCGUGAUUAGGGUAUCAUGAUUGCCGGUGUCUGCACUGAUGUGCUCCCAGCCCCUGCACACGCGGGGACAGGAUCUCAGGUGACCCCUGAGCGAUCCCGGCCGCCCAACGCGAGCCCUUUCCCGGGGAAAACCAUGGCCUGCAGCCACGGAGGGAAGUGCUAAGCUGUGUUAAUGAUGCUGUGUUAUCAUCAGGCUCUAAUGCUGCCUGGGAUGGAUGUCACCGCUGUGUAUGUUCCUGCAGAUCAGUUGGUAAUUACACUUGGAUCCAAAGUAAUUACGCUGAGACUUGCACUCCGGUUUAGGAGACAGAAAUAACCAUGCACUCGCCUGGUCCCACACGUAGCACUUGUGAUGUAAUUUAAUAGCCAGCUACUAACAUGAAAGUAAAGAGGCAUUUCUCUUGUAUUUAUGCCCUUUUAAAUUAAACAUCGGUGUUUUUCCCUGUGAAAGGAGCACUGUGCCACUGGUCUACUUUUCCUGCUCAAGCGCCCUCCUCUUUUCCUGACAAAAUGAAAUACACCGAAGGAAAAUAAAUAUUUAUGAGCUCCUCCUGGGGGGUGAUUGUUUUGACGCAGGUCUUGCUUUGGCUUCACUCUCUGCCCUAUUUAAAAUUUCGUCAGGGAAAAGCCGUCCUUCUAAAGGCUGGAGGAAGAUGAGGCAUUUGGAUGAGUUUUGUGGUCUCUGGGUGGGGAGCAGAGGGACCAACCUUCCUUUUGGAGGUUUUCCAGGUCACAUCUGCCAGUGUGUUUCCUCUUUACCCUCCCAACACUAAACACCUGGACAGCUGUAGCACUGCAUUAAGCACCUAUUUUUGACGAGGAGCUCAGAGGCGAGGGAGGCAGCCGGGUGCCUGGAGCCCACCUGCAAUGAGAACCUUCCCUGUCUGCAGUUCUGUUUCCCAACUGUCGAUCAGCAGAGCACACAGCUUUUUUCUCAUGUAGAAUCCUCUUGUGCAUUCCCAAAUAAGCCAAGACUCUGCAAAUAUUCCCCUUCCUUCAGGGUGAGGAGCUUACUUUGGUUAGGAAAAGAAAGAGUUUACUGGGAUCUCUUUCUUUUGGCAAUGUCUGGGUAAUCAUUGCUCGUGAUAAUGCCAUCCCAGAUGUUGAAACAUCUCCUGUAUUAAUUUUACCCAGAAGAUAAUUUCCCUUAGAAAUCAUGUGCAAAUCCCCUGUUCUAAUUUAAGAAUUAAUUCAGUACACUAAAUCUUAGCUCUUCAUCCUGGAAAUGUUUUGCAGUGUCUGUUAACCCUUUGCAACAACAGCAACCAGCCCAAGUGGGGGAUGUAGAGCUGUAACUAAGUCUGUCUCUCAUACCAAGCUCUUUUUGAGGCCAGUACACAAUAUUUUGGAGCCUAGGCAUCUAGAGCCUACCUGCUUGAAUGAUUUCCUUGUCCUCAGAGAAUAACAAGCAUAGAUUAAUUUGUUGUUGCACUUAUGGGGGGAGACACACCAGUGGUCCCACACACCGCACUGCAGUGGUGCCUGGAACUGCCAUCUCACCCACCAUCAGGGCUUCGACAGAUGCUAGGAAUGAAAAUAGGAUGAUUCCACAUUUAACCAGACAUGGAGGAGAAAGAGGAGCUGAAUGGUUUGGCUGAACCUGUGUAAGAAAUGUAUGGGAGAGCUGGGAACACAUCACACUUCUUCGGAGUCCUGGAUGUGGGUCAGUAGCACCUGACCAUCUCUCUCUCCCUGGGUGGGCUCAGGCACACAGAAGUUCACACCAGUACUACUAGAUAAAAGUACUGCUGGUGUGAACUGCUUCAUGCCUUUGCUGGGCUUUCUUAAUUUAAUUUACAAUGGAAAGUGUGUCACACUCCAGACCAGGCAUUUUCCUGCCCUUCCACGUUGUGACAAUCCUAAAGCAUCACAGCCUUUAUACUGAAAGUCUUUGACUGCCAUUGAAAAGAGUGAAGAAAAUAAAGAGGCCAAAUCUCCGAAUUUCCCUCUGAUAUGUGAGAUCAGAGUGCAGUCCAGCACACCUUUUGUGGAGCAGGAUGCUCCAAAAAACAUUUCCUGGUUCCUAGCAGAACAAUAUAACUUUAUCCCAUCCCAGUGGUAAUACCCAGCAACUGCCUCAUGCAACGUGAAGCUGCAUUUGGGAUUCCACUGGUUUUACUGGGGGUGGUUGUGUUUGCACAAGCAGCACCUCAUGCACUUUGCAGAGCAGAGUGCCAGCCAAGGACCUGCUCCAAAGAGGAUUCAUUCGGAAUCAGCUUUGAUAAUCAUCAUAAGGUGGUAAUAGGUGAUUAGAGCCAGGUUAUUCCAGCAUCUUCACCACCACCCCCUAAACUCCUGGAUCCUGUACUGACACUGUGCAGCAACUUGUCGUCAGAGGAGAAGAAUGAUGCAAUCCACUCUCCAAAUCCUUUCUCUUUCAUUUCAAUGAAAUAGACUGGGAAAAUAUUGCUGUGUCCUUGUGGUCCUUAAGCAAAGGAGGCUGCAUUUGUGCUACCCUGAAUUUCGGCACACUGACAGGCUGGAUCUGCUGGCCCAGCAGUCCAAGCAUGUUCAUUGGUUAUUAUUCCUCCUGAUGAAUUCACUUGGGGGAUCUGCUCCUUGAAUGCAAAGCUCUCAGGUCAGAACAAAUGGAAAAUGCAUUACACGGAGCGUGACAUGCUGUGAGUCCCAGAAAUGUGUUCAGAUACGUCCAUAAGCAGUGGGAUAAAGCUGUUCCUUUAUCUCACAGUUGCUGAUGGAAUCUCCUUCUAGAAACCUGUUUUUGCAUCAGCAAUGGCUAUUUGCAGUGAAUUACUGGAGUUUCUUGUAUUUAUUACGUAUUGAAAUAUAACAAGCUUAAAUUACAGCUUUGUUCUAAUUUUGAUUAGUGGGGAACAUGACAAAAAAGACCCAAUAUCAAAUCUGAAAUAUUUAGAAAGCCUUUCUCUAAAAAAACGAGAACUUGAAGUGUUUUGAUAGGAAAGCUAGCUGCAGUUUUCCAACAAAAAUUUUCAUGCAACAUCUCAGGAUCUUGAUCCCGAAACGGAACAAUUUGUGGUGUCUGAGGCCCUGAUCCUGCCACGAAACAUGUACUGGCUGGUUCUGUGGGAGUUUUCUCCUUUCUUCAGCAAGGCAGAGACAGAGUUUAGUGUUAUUUAGUGAAUUGUCACAAGGCAAGACACAGAUAUUCUCACCCAACCCACUGAUCUUUCUAGAAGACUUUAUAUAUCAUUUGUUUUGCUGUUUUCAUUUGCUUUGCUGCUUUCCUGAGUUACAGGAUACUACAUUCUCAUUCAGAGUGUUCCAUAUUUAUCUUCGAAGGAACAGAACUGUGUUUCCAGACAUGUUUUGCAGCUCAGAUCAACAUGCACAAGUCUUGGUCCCACCAUUAUUCUCCCAAAUGUGUAGGAUGUGGGAAGCUGAGGUGUGGAUGAGUUGACAUAAUCAAGGUUCAAGUGGGCAGAAGUUCACUGUUAGUUUGGUGGCCUGGGAGAGGUGUCCUGGUGUCUGCUGGAGGUGGGAGCAGAGGUCUUGUGCAGCAGCAAGGAAGGAAAUAUCUCAGCAAUAAAUGAUGCCCACUGUCAGCACUGAUCAUGCCUCUCUGUGAACACUCAACCCUGGCACCUCUUGCUCCCAGGACCCAGCUCCCAAGCCCAGUGUUUGAGCUGAGGACAGUGAGCAUUGGCACAAUCGAACAUCUUCUUUUCCCUCCCUUCAUUUCCCCUCCCACAGGGGAAAAAAACUUGGGUUUAAAGUCUGCUCUUGUUUGAUAACUUCCCUUAACUACCAGCUAAAUAAUACAUGAACACUGAGCCUCCAUGCUGACUGAUGACUCCCUCUCCUGACCCUGUUUUAUUUUUAUUGCUUGGCUCGGGCCAGUUCCUUCAAGUCCUGAAUCAUCAGAACAGAGACCUUGAGGUAUUCCAGGCAAAUCAAUCCCUGGCCCAUUGACAUAUUGCUUUAGCUAACCAACCAUACAACUUCACUUUUCCCUGAUAAUUUCUCAAUUAAUUGCUUUUCAGCUCUCAUUCGUUACAAGGUCAGGCCGUGACUGGACUUGUACAUUCCCAUCUCUGAUAAACUCUCCUGGUCCCCUAAUCAGCCACGACUGGGAUUUUAGUUCCAUUAACUUAUUCAUCAUCCAGACAUUUUCAUCUUGGGGAGCUUGACUUUUGAUUGUAUCAGGAGUAUCUUCAAUUAUUUAAGAGGACUUAAAAUUGCCUUCUUACCUAAAAGGAAAAUGCAUUUGGAGCCCUGAAAAUUGAUCAUAUUGGACCAGUGUCUUUUGGAUGUUCAUAUGUGCAAGCCCAUGUUAAAAAAAAAAGCUCCUGCAUGGCCAGAACAGAAGAAUUUGCUGCUGGUGAACAUGUGUGUGCAUGAGGCUGACUCUAUUAAGAUGUCAGCUAUAGGGGAAUGACAGUGUGCUGAUGACUGGUGGCUUACUAAUGCUAAAUCACGCCUGAGAUUCUGUUCCAUGAUGUCAAACAUUGAUUCAGUUUCCGUGGGAAGUUAUGCAAAUGCCAGAGCCCUUCAAUGAGAUCUGAGACUGAAAUUGCAAGCAAAAAAACCCCUAAUAAUAAAAAAAAUUGCUUCCCUU